rnacentral:rRNA from 1 species
AUAUUGGACAAUGGGCGAAAGCUUGAUCCAGCCAUGCCGCGUGUGUGAAGAAGGUCUUCGGAUUGUAAAGCACUUUAAGUUGGGAGGAAGGGUUGUAGGUCACUACCUCGCAAUUUUGACGUUACCAACAGGAUAAGCACCUUAUAACUUCGUGCCAUCAGCCGCGGUAAUACGAAGGGUGCCAGCGUUAAUCGGAAUUACUGGGCGUAAAGCGCGCGUAGGUGGUUCGUUAAGUUGGAAGUGAAAGCCCCGGGCUUAACCUGGGGAUUGCUUUCAAAACUGACGAGCUAGAGUACGGUAGAGGGUAGUGGAAUUACCUGUGUAGCGGUGGAAUGCGUAGAUAUAGGAAGGAACAUCAGUGGCGAAGGCGACUACCUGGACUGAUACUGACACUGAGGUGCGAAAGCGUGGGGAGCAAACAGG